rnacentral:rRNA from 1 species
CUACGGGCCGCUCCAGUGGGGAAUAUUGGACAAUGGGGGAAACCCUGAUCCAGCAAUGCCGCGUGUGUGAAGAAGGCCUGCGGGUUGUAAAGCACUUUCGGUUGGGAGGACUGCUUCUAGCACUAAUAUUGUUGGAAGUUGACGUUACCUUCAGAAGAAGCACCGGCUAACUCCGUGCCAGCAGCCGCGGUAAUACGGAGGGUGCAAGCGGUAAUCGGAAUUACUGGGCGUAAAGCGCGCGUAGGCGGCUAGAUCAGUCGGGUGUGAAAGCCCCGGGCUUAACCUGGGAACUGCAUCCGAUACUGUCUAGCUUGAGUACAGGAGAGGAGAGUGGAAUUCCACAUGUAGCGGUGAAAUGCGUAGAUAUGUGGAGGAACACCAAUGGCGAAGGCAGCUCUCUGGCCUGAUACUGACGCUGAGGUGCGAAAGCGUGGGGAGCAGACAGGAUUAAUACCCCUGUAGUC